UUCAUGUAGACCGGUGAAACACUGGAAAUGGAGGACGACACUGAAGUUGUGGUCAUGUCAUGGUUAAGGGACAUUUGAGGGCUAAAGGAUACAGAAUCCAAUGGAUGAGGUGUGGGAGUCUAUGCACCGGGUGGAUUCCAUUGGUAUAUAUGAGAGGAUGAGGAAGGUUGGAUGCAUUGUAAGGAGGGUGUACAGAGUGCCAGCACCUCUAUCUCGAGUCCACAUAGACACGAACCACAAAUUGAUAAGAUAUGGCAUUGUAAUCUUCGGGGGAAUUGAUGGGUAUUCCCGAAAA